rnacentral:ncRNA from 1 species
GCAGAGUAGCACAAAAAGCGUUAAGUGCCGUGUAACGGGAUGUUGAACACGGACGAAAAGGGAAUUUCCUUGCGGUUUUUUGGCGCAUCCA